AAGAGGGAACCUGGUGCGAGUCCAGGACUGCCUCGCAGCGGUGAGCGGGAACGACCGCCGUCACACGCACUGGGCCCCGAGCGGCCCGGGAAGCGACGGCCAGUAGACAGGCCCUCCACGGGAGAUGCCCGCGAGUCCGAAGACCU
rnacentral:ncRNA from 1 species